rnacentral:rRNA from 1 species
AACCAACUCCCUGAGUGGUGGGGAUGAUUAUUGGGCUUAAAGCGUCCGUAGCUGGCCUGGUUAGUCCCGCGUUAAAUCCAGCGACCUAAUCGUUGGGAUGCGUGGGAUACGGUCAGGCUGGGGGGCGGGAGAGGUUAGCGGUACUCCAGGGGUAGGGGUGAAAUCCAAUAAUCCCUGGCGGACCACCAGUGGCGAAGGCUGCUAACCAGAACGCGCUCGACGGUGAGGGACGAAAGCUGGGGGAGCGAACCGGAUUAGAUACCCGGGUAGUCCCAGCUGUAAACGAUGCGGGCUAGCUGUUGGGGUGGCUACGAGCCACUUCAGUGGCGCAGGGAAACCAUUAAGCCCGCCGCCUGGGAAGUAUGAUCGCAAGAUUGAAACUUAAAGGAAUUGGCGGGGAGCACCACAAGGGGUGAAGCUUGCGGUUU